CCUGGAGUGCGGCGAACAGGAGCAGGCAAACAGGGUCACAGCAGUUUGCGCAGCAGUUCGUGCAGGCAGGGCAAGCAGGCAAGGCUGCAGGUUCUUGCUAGUUUGGCUACCACUGCUGCUGAUGGAACUUGAUGCUCGUUCAAGGAAGCACUGGAGAAGAUAAGCAGAUCAGGAAAAAGUGGCUUCCCAGCUGCAGGCUCCUUGUGCGCCAUGGAUGUUAUCCACAGUAGGAACCCUGUCACACUUACAGGUCUUGUAGAAACCACAUUCCAUGCCAUGGCUGGAAAGUGCUUCUGUGGAUCUAUGUGAGGUGAUUCCCAGAAAGUUUUCUGGAGAAAGAGAAGAUGACAGAAAUGAGUCCUACAGGAAGCUGGGGCAAAGUAGUAUCCACUUGCAGGAAAUUUGCAUUUCCAAGGAUACAGCAAAGCUCUCAAGAGAGGUCUUCUGUGCUGGCUGAUUAUGGACAACCUUGCUAGGAUGUGUUAUUCUGGCAUGGAUCAUCCAGCCACCUGCAUUGUUCCCUUCAGCUCAGCUGUCUUUUAGCAAGAGAAACAGUCACUUCUAGAAAAUACUCCUGUUAUUUUUAACAAAUAAAGAGUUAUAGAUGCAAAAAGGCUUCUCUAAAUAUACUAGAAACGUUUAUAACUCCCAGAUGUUGCAAAAAAAGGCAGUGCCUCAAAGGCACAUUCCUCAGUCAGCUUGAUCUUAUUGCCAGAUAAAUUCCUGUUACAAUUAGAACACCAGAUGUUCAUUCCAUUUGCACUAUUGUGUUUACUUUCAUUUGCUUUGAUGCUGGCAGCAUCUUCCCUGUCUCUGAUUAUUCUCACAGUGUUUCUUUCUCAUCUGAGUUUGCAGUGGUGGAACUUGUGAUGACCCUCCUGCCCAAUAGGGACUUUCACCUCCAGGAUUUUUGUUCUAGCUCUCAUUCCACCAAAAUUAUUUUAGGGCAUGCUUGGAUCUUGCUUUG